rnacentral:rRNA from 1 species
UACGAAGGGGGCUAGCGUUGCCCGGAAUCACUGGGCGUAAAGCGCACGUAGGCGGACUCUUAAGUCGGUGGUGAAAUCCUGGAGCUCAACUCCAGAACUGCCUUCGAUACUGAGAGUCUUGAGUUCGGGAGAGGUGAGUGGAACUGCGAGUGUAGAGGUGAAAUUCGUAGAUAUUCGCAAGAACGCCAGUGGCGAAGGCGGCUCACUGGCCCGAUACUGACGCUGAGGUGCGAAAGCGUGGGGAGCAAACAGG